AUGAAGGUGCGCUCGUACUUGACCCCCUCCUCCUCCCGGGGCUGCAGGAGCGUGUUCUCAGGGCUCAUCAACCUGGCGGAGGAGAGGACAGGAAGUGAGGCAGCCUGCACGUGCCGGUGGGGAGAGCGGGGAGGCGGGGGGAGGCGCGAGCAGGGGGUGAGAGGCAGACUACCGCGUGUAAAACGGACAAGUACACGGAGCUGCGGCCCCGCGCGGGGAAUGUGGCCAAUGUCUCCUAACAGCUUCACACACAGUAUGAAAGGAGAGUUCCGCCGCUCAGUCGUGGCCGACUCUUGGCGACCCACGGCCUGCAGCCCGCCGGGCUCCUCCGUCCACGGGAUUCUCCAGGCAGGAAUCCUGGAGCGGGCUGCCGUUUCCUUCUGCAGCGGACCUCCCGGCCCAGGGACUGAAUCUGCCUCUCCUGCACCGCAGGUGGGUUCUUUACUGGCUGAGCCCCCAGGGAGGCCCCAUCAGAGAAUAAUCUGCGAACAUCUGGAAUCACUAUGGUGUAUACCUAAAACUAAUAGAAUAUUGUAAGUCAACUACACUUCAGUUUAAAACAAAAAAAGAAACCAGCACAAAAGGAAGAUCACUCAACUGAAAUCCCACAGCGCAGGCUUCCCUGAAGCAUCGCAGCAAGCCUCUCAGACAGACAAACGUGGCUGCUGUGUGCUGCCCCAAACGCAACUGUCAAGACAAGGAGCUGCUUCCAAAGAGAACAAGGGGCAUCUUUUCCUGGUGACGGCUAAGAACACUGGAAGUGCAAUCCGAAACUCUUUAGCAGACUGCAGUCAGCUUGUGCGCGUGUGGUCAGCUGCUCAGCCAGGUCUGACUCUUUGUGACCCCAUGGACUAUAGCCUGCCUGGCUCCUCUGUCCAUGGGAUUUUCCAGGCAAGGAUAUUGGGGUGGCUUGCCAUUUCCUCCUCCAGGGGAGCUUCCUGACCCAGGGAUUGAACCCACGUCUCUUGAGUCUCCAGUAGUUGCUGGUGGAUUCUGUACGUCUGCGCUACCUGGGAAGCUUGGUGUUCAAUUUAGCCUUCUUGAAAGGGAGUUACUAACCAAACUGCACCCUUUCUAAACAAGUCUCUUUCUUUCCUAAAGGCAUGAUUCCUUUCCCCAAAUCACUGGAUUACUUGCUAUGGACUUAAUGCUUGUCUCUUCCCAAAUUUCAUAUGUAUUGAAACACUAACGACAAACGCGGAACAAUUUAGAGACAGGGAUUCAGGGACGCGAUUAUUUCAUGAGUGGGGAGCUCUGUACCCUGGCAGGUUCUUCUGGCUGGUCUGUGAAUUUAACCGCCAUGAGACGGAUCAACAGGACAAAGUUCUACAAAAGUUAAGCAGCACGCAUGGGGAGAGGCACAGAGUAACUGAGUAACUCACCAAAACGGGCGAACCCCUGACAGUAAACACCACCAAAGCCAAAAGAGGGCGUUGGGGGUAGCGGCUGAGGACCUCAAAGAGGAAGACAGAGAGUCGGAUGACAAAAAGCAACGUUUGGGAAAGAAAUGUUUGCUGUGGCACGCAGAGACGACGGGACACAGCGGAGUCUGAGCGACAGCCUUCCUGGGUGCCUCCCGUCCGCGCGCGGAGCUCAGACCGGAGUCAUCUCCUCCCUGUUCACACGCAGCGCUCAGACCCGAGUUAUCUCCUCCCCGUCCGCGCGCGCGCGCCGAGUUAUCUCCUCCCCGUCCACCAGUCCUCCGUCCACAUUUGUUUAGGUCAAAGGUCAAAUUUUCCUCUGGAGUCCUUCUGGGCUCUGAUUGUUUUUAGCCCCAAAUAAUCCACGUACCAAAGAGAUAUUUGGGUGGCAGACUGUACCCCCCUACAGGCCCACGCUGCGAUGACUGUUUCUACGAGAAGGGGCCGCUGCGCCUUGCCCUCUGUGAGCACACACUGACAAGACCUCUGUGCACCGAGGUGUCCCAGGGUGUGCCAGGUAGGCCGGCACCUAGGCCUUGCACUUCCCAGGCUCCAGACAGUGAGGAACGCUGUGCAUUAUUUAAGCCAUCCAGGCUAGAGCGGUUUUUGCUAACACAGCCUGAACUGAGGCAGUGACCUGAGUGACUCCUUUAGGGGCCCUCGCCGACAGCACGGCUCACGCCCGGGUUCUGUCUUUGCUCCACCUGCAGACAGCCCCCCGGGCACAAGCCGCACAAGGGCGCCCCGUGAGUCCCUCCUCUGACUGACUCCAGCAGUAUCAGAGGCUGUGAGUGCUGUCCCCUCACAGUCUGAGCCCCGGCAGGGAACCCGACGCCACAGGCCACAAAUGAUGUGUGAGGCAGCCACAGGAGUGAAUAAUUUUAAAAAUUAAAAAAUAAAAUAGUAGAAAUUCACAUCUGGUAAUUCCUGACCCUGCAGAAGACACAACGCCAUGGCUUCCCCUUGCUUUAGGGUAGAGAUCGAAGCCCUUUCUGCGGCCUAUCACGCGUGCAGGACCCUGACCCCCCGUGGGACAGUCUCGCCUCUGACCCAGCAUCCGGAGGGGCUGGCCUUCUUUCAGUCCAGACAUCCUGCUGUAGUUCAGUCACUCAGUCGUGUCCAACUCUUUGCGACCCCAUGGACUGCAGCACGCCAGGCCUCCCCGUCCAUCACCAACUCCCAGAGCCUACUCAGACUCACGUCCAUCGAGCCGGUGAUGCCAUCCAGCCAUCUCAUCCUCUGUCAUCCCCUUCUCCUCCUGCCUUCUAUCUUUCCCAGCAUCAGGGUCUUUUCAAUUGAGUUGGCUCUUCGCAUCAGGUGGCCAAAGUAUUGGACUUUCAGCUUCAACAUCAGCCCUUCCAAUGAACACCCAGGACUGAUCUCCUUUAGGAUGGACUGGUUGGAUCUUGUAGUCCAAAGGACUCUCAAGAGUCUUCUCCAACACCACAGUUCAAAAGCAU
rnacentral:lncRNA from 1 species